rnacentral:rRNA from 1 species
UACGUAGGUGGCAAGCGUUGUCCGGAUUUACUGGGCGUAAGGGCGUGAGCAGGCGGUUUGUUAAGUGUCAGGGUGAAAGCUCCCGGCUCAACUGGGAGAGGUCCUUGCAUACUGGCAAACUCGAGGGAGGCAGAGGAAAGUGGAAUUCCCGGUGUAGUGGUGAUAUGCGUAGAUAUCGGGAGGAACACCUGUGGCGAAGGCGGCUUUCUGGGCCUUACCUGACGCUGAGACGCGAAAGCGUGGGGAGCGAACCGGAU